UACGGAGUGGGCUAGCGUUGUUCGGAAUUACUGGGCGUAAAGCGCACGUAGGCGGACUGUUAAGUCGGGGGUGAAAUCCUGGGGCUCAACCUCAGAAUUGCCUCCGAUACUGGCAGUCUCGAGUGCGGGAGAGGUGAGUGGAAUUCCCAGUGUAGAGGUGAAAUUCGUAGAUAUUGGGAAGAACACCAGUGGCGAAGGCGGCUCACUGGCCCGUAACUGACGCUGAGGUGCGAAAGCGUGGGGAGCAAACAGG
rnacentral:rRNA from 1 species